rnacentral:rRNA from 1 species
CGCGUAGGAAUCUACCUGAUAGUGGGGAAUAGCCCGAAGAAAUUCGGAUUAAUGCCGCAUAAUCUCUAUGGAGUAAAGAAGGCCUCUAUUUAUAAGCUUUCGCUAUCAGAUGAGCUUGCGUCGGAUUAGCUUGUUGGUGGGGUAAAGGCCUACCAAAGCGACGAUCCGUAGCUGGUCUGAGAGGAUGAUCAGCCACACUGGGACUGAGACACGGCCCAGACUCCUACGGGAGGCAGCAGUGGGGAAUAUUGGACAAUGGGGGCAACCCUGAUCCAGCAAUGCCGCGUGUGUGAAGAAGGC